GAAAUGAGAUAAGUAGUGUGAAUUGCAGAAUUCAGUGAAUCAUCGAAUCUUUGAACGCACAUUGCGCCCCUUGGUAUUCCAUGGGGCAUGCCUGUUCGAGCGUCAUUUGUACCCUCAAGCUCUGCUUGGUGUUGGGUGUUUGUCCGCGUCUCCGCGCGUGGACUCGCCCCAAAGUGAUUGGCAGCCGGCGUACUGGUCCCGGAGCGCAGCACAUGUCGCGCAAACGAGUGCCUUGGUACGGCGGCGUCCAUAAGCCCCUCUCUCACGCUCUUGACCUCGGAUCAGGUAGGGAUACCCGCUGAACUUAAGC
rnacentral:misc_RNA from 1 species